rnacentral:rRNA from 1 species
UACGUAGGGGGCAAGCGUUGUCCGGAAUCAUUGGGCGUAAAGAGCGUGUAGGCGGCUCGGUAAGUCCGCUGUGAAAGUCCAGGGCUCAACCCUGGAAUGCCGGUGGAUACUGUCGGGCUAGAGUCCGGAAGAGGCGAGUGGAAUUCCUGGUGUAGCGGUGAAAUGCGCAGAUAUCAGGAGGAACACCAAUGGCGAAGGCAGCUCGCUGGGACGGUACUGACGCUGAGGCGCGAAAGCGUGGGGAGCGAACAGG